AAAUCUUUUGGGGAGGGGACAGGGGUCUUACGGAGUAAAAUCAGUUACAGUGGCGGGGGUAGGGGCAAGGAAUAUACAUUACCAUUUGUUAAGUUACAAUGGCGGUGGGGUAAGGCGGAAGAGUAGUUAAGAUGGCGGGGCGGGGUGAGGAGUAGUCACAUUAUCAUAAUAACAGUUAAGAUGGCAGGGUGGGGUGAGCCAUCUUAACGGGGGAAGCUCGGCUGGGCUAUCAGGGAUAAUGGCGAACCCAGGCGGCGGAUCAGCCAGCCAAGGCAGGCAGGAUUUCUGACCUUCUGGGUCCGGGCUUGCACAUGGAGGCCUGACAGAGGGGCCCUGCUGUUCCCCAGGUCUCCCCUCCGCAGUCAUCUCUUACCCUGAGCCCGAGUUGGGGAGGUGCCCGGGGCCUUUCGUGUGACACGGGAUGUUCUGCCAGCCCAGCUCCAGCCCCUAUAAAAAGGCACUUCUCCAGAUGCAGGCGUCUUGCUCCAAACCCUCCUGUGGUUGUGUGGGCCAAAGACAUCAGGAGACAGACAGAGAGCAUUAGAAAACCUGAGAUAGAGAAAACAAGAAUGAGGAAGACCCAUAACAGAUGGCAAAGUAGAAGAUGGGUGAGGGUUUUGCCAAGAGACAGCAAAAGUGAAAAAAAAAA